GCCGCGGUAAUACGUAGNUCCCGAGCGUUGUCCGGAUUUAUUGGGCGUAAAGCGAGCGCAGGCGGUUAGAUAAGUCUGAAGUUAAAGGCUGUGGCUUAACCAUAGUACGCUUUGGAAACUGUUUAACUUGAGUGCAGAAGGGGAGAGUGGAAUUCCAUGUGUAGCGGUGAAAUGCGUAGAUAUAUGGAGGAACCCCGGUGGCGAAAGCGGCUCUCUGGUCUGUAACUGACGCUGAGGCUCGAAAGCGUGGGGAGCGAACAGGAUUAGAUACCCUGGUAGUNCACGCCGUAAACGAUGAGUGCUAGGUGUUAGGCCCUUUCCGGGGCUUAGUGCCGCAGCUAACGCAUUAAGCACUCCGCCUGGGGAGUACGACCGCAAGGUUGAAACUCAAAGGAAUUGACGGGGGCCCGCACAAGCGGUGGAGCAUGUGGUUUAAUUCGAAGCAACGCGAAGAACCUUACCAGGUCUUGACAUCCCGAUGCCCGCUCUAGAGAUAGAGUUUUACUUCGGUACAUCGGUGACAGGUGGUGCAUGGUUGUCGUCAGCUCGUGUCGUGAGAUGUUGGGUUAAGUCCCGCAACGAGCGCAACCCUUAUUGUUAGUUGCCAUCAUUCAGUUGGGCACUCUAGCGAGACUGCCGGUAAUAAACCGGAGGAAGGUGGGGAUGACGUCAAAUCAUCAUGCCCCUUAUGACCUGGGCUACACACGUGCUACAAUGGCUGGUACAACGAGUCGCAAGUCGGUGACGGCAAGCUAAUCUCUUAAAGCCAGUCUCAGUUCGGAUUGUAGGCUGCAACUCGCCUACAUGAAGUCGGAAUCGCUAGUAAUCGCGGAUCAGCACGCCGCGGUGAAUACGUUCCCGGGCCUUGUACACACCGCCCGUCACACCACGAGAGUUUGUAACACCCGAAGUCGGU
rnacentral:rRNA from 1 species